GGUCAGUGAUGUCAUGUAAAAGGUCUGAAUCUCAGCUCCCCCCCUCAGCCACCAUUUUGGCUCCCAUCAGCCCCUGCUCUCUGCUCCCAUUAUGCUCCAGUGCUGCAAUGAUGGUCCCAGGAGCUGCUGACAGACAGGAAGUGACAUCACUGUUGGUCUGUACAGAGAUCCUACAGGCUGAGUGUGAUACUUGACACCCAACAGAACCAAUCAUCAUGGAGCGUCGGGCUGGGGGGUGGGUCCUGAGCACUGAUCUCAACCUUCAACUGAGACC
rnacentral:snoRNA from 1 species